rnacentral:lncRNA from 1 species
CCAAAACUCUAGGUCCGAAAGUCGGAAAACCCUAGAAUUUGAAGAACUCGUCGGAACAAAAUAAGAGAUGUCGGAAAAUCACCCGAAACAUCUACUGAUACAUGAUCAGAGCCUCAAACAGUCAGAAAAGUCCCGAUUAACCGAUUACUAUUCAUCGAAAAAAAAAAUAUACGAAUAGCAUUUUUCUCAGAUAACCGAAGAAAAACUUCAGCAAAAGCUUCAUCAAGUAUCGAUAACACAUA